rnacentral:rRNA from 1 species
CACGUAGGGGGCGAGCGUUGUCCGGAAUCAUUGGGCGUAAAGAGCUCGUAGGCGGUUUGUCGCGUCUGCUGUGAAAACUCGGGGCUUAACCCCGGGCCUGCAGUGGGUACGGGCAGACUAGAGUGCGGUAGGGGAGACUGGAAUUCCUGGUGUAGCGGUGAAAUGCGCAGAUAUCAGGAGGAACACCGGUGGCGAAGGCGGGUCUCUGGGCCGUAACUGACGCUGAGGAGCGAAAGCGUGGGGAGCGAACAGG